rnacentral:rRNA from 1 species
GACGAACGCUGGCGGCGUGCCUAAUACAUGCAAGUCGAACGCAUUUUCUUUCACCGUAGCUUGCUACACCGAAAGAAAAUGAGUGGCGAACGGGUGAGUAACACGUGGGUAACCUGCCCAUCAGCGGGGGAUAACACUUGGAAACAGGUGCUAAUACCGCAUAAUUCCAUUUACCGCAUGGUAGAUGGGUGAAAGGCGCUUUUGCGUCACUGAUGGAUGGACCCGCGGUGCAUUAGCUAGUUGGUGGGGUAACGGCCUACCAAGGCUGCGAUGCAUAGCCGACCUGAGAGGGUGAUCGGCCACACUGGGACUGAGACACGGCCCAGACUCCUACGGGAGGCAGCAGUAGGGAAUCUUCGGCAAUGGACGCAAGUCUGACCGAGCAACGCCGCGGGAGUGAAGAAGGGUUUCGGAUUGUAAAACUCUGUUGUUAGAGAAGAACAAGGAUGAGAGUGGAAAGUUCAUCCCUUGACGGUACCUAACCAGAAAGCCACGGCUAACUACGUG